GCCAGACUCCUACGGGAGGCAGCAGUGGGGGAUAUUGCACAAUGGGGGGAACCCUGAUGCAGCGACGCCGCGUGGGUGAAGGAGCGUUUCGGCGCGUAAAGCCCUAUCGGCAGGGAAGAAGGAGGACGGUACCUGACUAAGAAGCCCCGGCUAACUACGUGCCAGCAGCCGCGGUAAUACGUAGGGGGCAAGCGUUAUCCGGAUUUACUGGGUGUAAAGGGGGCGCAGACGGCAGCGCAAGCCAGGAGUGAAAGCCCGGGGCCCAACCCCGGGACUGCUCUUGGAACUGCGCGGCUGGAGUGCAGGAGGGGCAGGCGGAAUUCCUGGUGGAGCGGUGAAAUGCGUAGAUAUCAGGAGGAACACCGGUGGCGAAGGCGGCCUGCUGGACUGCGACUGACGUUGAGGCCCGAAAGCGUGGGGAGCAAACAGGAUUAGAUACCCUUGUAC
rnacentral:rRNA from 1 species